UAACCGUAUAGGGGAGCCGAAGGGAAACCGAGUCUUAACCGGGCGUUAAGUUGCAGGGUAUAGACCCGAAACCCGGUGAUCUAGCCAUGGGCAGGUUGAAGGUUGGGUAACACUAACUGGAGGACCGAACCGACUAAUGUUGAAAAAUUAGCGGAUGACCUGUGGCUGGGGGUGAAAGGCCAAUCAAACCGGGAGAUAGCUGGUUCUCCCCGAAAGCUAUUUAGGUAGCGCCUCGUGAAUUCAUCUCCGGGGGUAGAGCACUGUUUCGGCUAGGGGGCCAUCCCGGCUUACCAACCCGAUGCAAACUGCGAAUACCGGAGAAUGUUAUCACGGGAGACACACGGCGGGUGCUAACGUCCGUCGUGAAGAGGGAAACAACCCAGACCGCCAGCUAAGGUCCCAAAGUCAUGGUUAAGUGGGAAACGAUGUGGGAAGGCCCAGACAGCCAGGAUGUUGGCUUAGAAGCAGCCAUCAUUUAAAGAAAGCGUAAUAGCUCACUGGUCGAGUCGGCCUGCGCG
rnacentral:rRNA from 1 species